rnacentral:lncRNA from 1 species
UGGGCCUUUGGCUUCCUGUCACACAGCCGUGCGACAAGGGGCAGGUUUCUGAAGGACCAGAGAGAAAAGGGGUCUGUUGUUCUCGGGGGCACAGGCUUGCUGGUGGCAUCCCGCACAGACACUCUCUCCUCACAGCUCCCACCACGGGGACUGGAGGCAGGAGGAGCCGACGGGCCCCUGGAACGGCCGCGGUGCGUCCCGAGGUGGGAGCCGCAAGCCCGAGGCUCGGCCGAGUCCCAGGGGACCCUAACGGAGGCCGGGCUGGAAGGCCAAGGUGGCUGCCACGUGGGAAGGUAUCCUUGACGUCCAGACCCUGGAGAAGGAAUCGGGAGCCACCACCCAAAGCAACUGUCCAGGAAAAGUGGUCGCGCUUCAGCCAUCGCGCUGGGCUAGGUCUUCCAAGCGAACCCCCUGUUGGAGCCUCUGCCGUCUAACGUCACCUAAUGUAGCCGAACCUGCCAAGACCCUGGCUACUUAACUGGAACCCAGACCAGGGCGAUCCCCAAGUGUUGCUAGCCCACCUUCCUCUUCCUCGACGGUGGCUCCAGCCCCUUCAUGUCGCCUCCAAGCUCCUGCCCAAGUGUUCCCACCCGCACUGCUGGGAGCAGCUCCUCUGUGUUUUCAGGGCCACUUUGCUGUCGUCCUUUGAAGGUUCUCUUGGCGACUCUAGGAAGACUCCGUGGUACAGGUGACCUUCUGUAUCUGUGGAGGAUCGGUUCCCAGAUACCCCCGCCCACGGAUCCCAAAAUCCCAGGAGCCAAGCCUUGUCUAAAGUGCCGGAGUGCAGCCUGGCCUCCAGAACGCGUGAGAACAGAGCAGCCGUACUCUGUUUCCAACGAGCCGAUGGCCAAAGCCCCGCCGUGCGUGUUCUCUAUGGACUGAACAGCCAGUGGCCCUGUAGCAGUGAAGCCUCACACCGUCCUCCAGGCUGGAAGGGACCCUUGAGUCACAGAACUUGCCAGUUUGCAAACAUGUCUCUAGUUGUAACAACUUUCAUCUGUCAAAUGAGGGCUCUUCAUUUCUAAGGUUCUAGAAGCCGGCCGUGGUCAUUUAGUCCCUCAGCUGGGUGUACUGAAAUCUGGGCCAGAGGCACAGCUUCCUCGCUAAGACACCCCCCCACCCCAGCACCCUGCACACACACACAGGCAGAGGCCAAGCUGCCUGCCUCCCCGCACCCCCUAGAAUGCUGACCACUGGGGACCGAGGGGCAGUUCCUACCUUUUACAUCCUUACAUACUGAAUCUGGCGCUGGCUCCUGGGCUGCAUCUUCUUAACUGCAAACACUCUAUACCAUCCCUCUCUGGUUCCACCAGCCACCACCCUCCUUCCGUGUCCUCCUCUGAACGUGCCUGAUAAAGGCUUUUGAGUGACUGAAUGAGUGGACGGCUCCCAUCUUCUGUCAUCUCAAUGAGUGCUGCUCCCCAGCUGACUGGAACCAGACGCCCUAGUUCCCAGGCUGGGUUUCCCUCCAGAUGUGUUCUCCUGCGGUGUCGGUUCCACCGUUAAACAGCUGUAUCACUCAGCAGGUAUGCAACGUUGAUGCGCCUCCAUUUCCUCCUCUGCAGAAUUGUGGGAGUUCCUGUCGUGGCUCAGCAGAAUCCGGCUUGUAUCCACAAGGAUGCGGGUUCUAUCCCUGGCCUCGCUCGGUGAAUCUGGGAUCCAGCCUUGCCGUGAGCUGUGGUGUAGGCCGGAAGCUGUAGCUCCAAUUUGACCCCUAGCCUGGAAACUUCCACAUGCUGAGGGUUCGGCCUUAAAAACAACAACGACAACAAAAUAGUACUUACGUCAUAGGCUUGCUGUCAGCAUUAAAUGAGAGAGUCUGUUAAAAACGCCGAGAACAUUGCCUGGCAAUAUACAUUGCAGAAUACUCAAUAAAUAUUAGCUGGUGUUAUUUCAUACUUCAUCAAAC